ensembl:snoRNA
CGCCCGGAUCCCCAAGUGCAGCCCCCAGAUGAGCCCGCAAUAUUUUCCUUAUAUGAUCAGGCCCCGUGGCCUGAGAGGAUUAUGAAAACGAGGCAGGCGAAGUGGGGCCAGGGGACCGGGCG